rnacentral:rRNA from 1 species
GACGAACGCUGGCGGCGUGCUUAACACAUGCAAGUCGAACGGAAAGGCCCUGCUUUUGUGGGGUGCUCGAGUGGCGAACGGGUGAGUAACACGCGAGUAUCAUGCCCUUGGCUUUGGGAUAACUUCAGGAAACUGGGGCUAAUAUCGGAUAGGAGCUCCUGCUGCAUGUGGGGGGUUGGAAAGUUUCGGCGGUUGGGGAGGAACUCGAGGUUUAUCAGCGUGUUGGUGGGGUAGUGGCUUACCACGGCUCUGACGGGUAGCCGGCCUGCGAGGGUGACCGGCCACAGUGGGACUGAGAAAGGGGCCAGACGGAUACGGGGGGCAGCAGGGGGGAAUUUUGCACAAUGGGCGGAAGCCGUAUGCAGCAACGUCGCGUGCUGGAGGACUGCCUUCGGGUUGGAACGCGCGUUCGCCUGUGACGAAGCGUGAGUGACGGUAAUGUGUAAAGAAGCACCGGCUAACUACGUG